rfam:Ornithorhynchus anatinus chromosome 7, whole genome shotgun sequence.
UGCAGCGUGGCUCAGCGGAAAGAGCCUGAGCUUGGGAGUCAGAGGUCAUGGGUUCGAAUCCCGGCUCUGCCG